rnacentral:rRNA from 1 species
CCUACGGGAGGCAGCAGUGAGGAAUAUUGGUCAAUGGGCGCAAGCCUGAACCAGCCAUGCCGCGUGCAGGAUGACGCAUCUAUGGUGUGUAAACUGCUUUUGUACGGGAAGAAACCCUGGCUCGUGAGCCAGAUUGACGGUACCGUAAGAAUAAGGAUCGGCUAACUCCGUGCCAGCAGCCGCGGUAAUACGGAGGAUCCAAGCGUUAUCCGGAAUCAUUGGGUUUAAAGGGUCCGUAGGCGGUUUUAUAAGUCAGUGGUGAAAUCCGGCAGCUCAACUGUCGAACUGCCAUUGAUACUGUAGAACUUGAAUUAUUGUGAAGUAACUAGAAUAUGUAGUGUAGCGGUGAAAUGCUUAGAUAUUACAUGGAAUACCCAUUGCGAAGGCAGGUUACUAACAAUAUAUUGACGCUGAUGGACGAAAGCGUGGGGAGCGAAC